GAGGGAUAGAGAGAGACAGAGAGUGAAGGAGCCAAGCUGAUCUGCUAGUGAUGGAGCAUAUGCAGAGCCCUCCUCUCCCCAGUGGAGGCUGCUGGGAAAGGGGGAGGGCAGAGGGCGGGGCAUACUCAGGAGCUCUGUUCCGGAGCCAUGAUUGAGCAAUCUGCUCUGACCUUGGGGAGAGGUCAGACACAGGGAGGCAUAUUCAGUCUGCAUUUCAAGCGGCCACAAUGUAGCCACAAGUAUGCCUCCGACGGAUAUAGCCGGGGCUGGAUGGACACCGGCGACAAAGUCCACUUAGUAGCCCAUUAAAUUUGUUUUCUCUCUCUUGGAGCAGAACUAGUUUGGAGAACAGCCUUUUCUAAUUCAGGAAACUCAUUCGCCCUUCAAAGAAAGAAAAGAAAAAAAAAAAAAAAAAGAAACCCCACAAAGGAAAUGUGAUUAUGAAAAACAGCAAGAGCAUGGCUCUCUCCUUGGAUGUAGCACGACUUUGAUUUCCAUAGAAAAAAAAGGGACAGUGUUUGCAACUGAUAACAGUCAGCGGAAAUCCACUGACCAAGGUCUUUAACUGAGAACAUUUCUGUUUUAUGGCUUUUAUGCAACAGUGCCUUCAGACCAGUUCAGUUUAGUUUAUGCCACACCCUCUCUUUCUCCAUCUCAGUUCCUUGCUAUUGUUCUGACCUUUUGACCUUCCGGUUAUGGGUCGGCCAAAGUGCUCUCUGGCUGUUUUAGUGACUGUAGUGCUCUCUACCACGGUAACAACAUUGUCUUAGGCUCAGUGACAAACAGUUGUGAGAGACCAGAGCAAAGCUCGGAUGCAGGAGUCCUUGUGUAGGGACUCUGGCACAAACAGAAACAUUACAACUGAGCUCUGCUCUGCCAGGCGUUUACACUUUCAACAGUGCGCCCGCUUUGAAGGAGCGCCAGCAUGCACGCGAUGGAGUGACGAGGGCGCAGUGGGGCCAUUGAUUAUAGAGCUGGCAACCUGACAGUUGUGGACAGCCCGCACCUUGUGUGUUCUGCUGGCAUCGGCACUAGCCUAAUCGUUACACUGAACUUUAGCUUACAGUCAGGACUUACCGGGUCGGCUGGUCCACAGAACUGUCGGAAGGCUCUGGCUGCAUCUGAGGC